CACGCCAGAUGCAUGCGUCAUGUGACAGCCAUGCCAUCGAAGCGAGCGAGGCCGGCGGCUCGUGUGAAGUUCACCCGUUCGUCGACCCGUCACUUUUGGAUUUAGCCUGUUUGUUCGGCCCUCAGCGUAUUCUUGCGCUCCUUCUGCGCUGCGACAAGGCACCAUUGCACUAUUGGACUACAGCGAGGGUGGCGAGGUCAUGGAAAGUGGACGUGAUCCGGGACCUACUACAAUCCGCGCGAUUCCCGGAGACGUGACGUGGAAACUUGUGUUGUUCGUUUCCACUCGCUGGAAACCACGAAUUGAGCCUGCGCCGCUCAUCACUGGCACCUGCGCAGCGUCUUCUUCGCCCUUCUCUUGAUUACCGGCCGAGACGAAGUCAUCAGGGUAACCCGACGGAGUCGGUGUGGUUGGACUACCACUACGCCAACGAGGGUUGAAGUGACAGGCUGAGUAAUAGCACCACUCUUACCCGACAGCUGUCUGUACAAGAAGCUUCUUGUAGAGAGGCAUCGUAAGUAACAAAAAAAAAAACACUAUAGAACCUCUGGUUCUUCACGGGGACCUCAAUUUGUGUCACUGCGCAAACGAGAAAAAAUGCACUCGCUAGCAGAAAUUCCAGAAGGUACAGGAAGAAGAAUCCCCCACGUUCAAGACAGCACCUCAAGAAAACGAAUAGGCAACCAGUUUAGGAAGCAGACGUGUCGUGACAUUCUUCUCCCAAACAAGUCUCGUUCUCCCGUCUUCCGCGAAUCUUCCCUCGGGGCACCGCCGGCGCGCGCGGUAGGAACUAGGAACAGUCGCUGAACAGGAGCUGGCCCAUUCUGACUUGUUGGCUGAUGGCGAAUAUAUAUUUCUGGAUGGAAAUACUUUUCAUACCGCCUCUGGUCACGUUUUUUCUUCGGCAUGUUUUCAUGGAGUUUUCUUUUGGUUCCAAAUCGUGAAGCGUGAACACUCGCCCUUAAAG